rnacentral:lncRNA from 1 species
UAGAAACGGAAACGAGCGAGGAACACAUAACGACGAACGACGGUGACGAUAUGGCGGAUCUGGUGGCUGGUGAAUGGGACACCGGCGGUGGUGCACGCGGUAGCGCGAGGACAGCGUCGAAAGAGUAUUUAGUUGCGGUGGCUUAAAUGUUUCCGAAAGAAGUGAUUUUUUGCCCUUGAAUUUGUUUUACUCUGCUGUUAGUUUUGGUUUAGAAUGGGUUGGAAACAAUUAAUGUUUUGUUAUGAAUUAAGUUCAUGAUGAUGUGUUGUGUU